GAAAGCACGACAUUGCUCACAUUGCUUCCAGUAUUACUUUAGCCAGCCUUGUGCUGGCUUUUUUUU
rnacentral:antisense_RNA from 1 species